CUACUCUGAUUUCUCUUCAGAUCGUAUAAAUCUUUCGCCUUUUGCUAAAGAUUUCCGUGGAGAGGAACAGGCAUGAGUGUCGAGGAAUUUUCUGAGGCUCCAUUUCGGUGGAGCU
rnacentral:snRNA from 1 species